UCACACAUCGCAUUUAUUGAACAUUUACUAUGUUCCAGGCUCUGUGGCACUUCCUACACAUGAUGUCACUCAUUCCUCCCCGUGUUUCUGUGCUGGCGAGCACCACAAUUAGCAGACCUGUUACAGAGGGUUGGAGAAAUUUGUCUGAAGUCACACAGCCAACAGAUGGUGGAAUCAAGACUCAAACCAGGUCUUCUGACUCUAGUAGCUAUGCUUGAUAAAUAGCUAUAACUUUUAACAAAAGGGACAGUGGGGGACAUGUGAGUAUGGGGGUGUGGGUGUGAUGGGUUGAUGGCCGAAAGCUUUCUGGGACCCUGCUACUCAUGCUAGAUUUUCUGGUCCUGAUUAGCUGCUCCAUGGCUGCCAGGAGCUGUUAUUAUCACUCACUCCUAUGCCCUUGUCACUGGGCCUGUGGGGACCUGCCCUUCCUUCCUGCUCUUGGCCCUGUGAUGUUGACAGCUGUACUGGGAAAUCACAUGCUGGCUGCUGCCACAAUUACCAGACACAGACUGUAAGUGCCUCCCUGGACGUCCUGCCACCCUGUCUCAUGCCGGCCCCUACACAGGUGCUCAGGCCACGGCUUUGCUCCAUCUGUUUUACUUCUGUAUUCCAACUCACGAUGAGAAAAGCAACUUCCAGCACCUGCCACAGGAUCAGCAGAGAAUCACUACGAUGUUCCAUGUCCCUAUGACCGCAGGGCAACCUGGAGGAAGCGGUGGUCGUACAAGCACCAUGAGUCACAAAACCUGACAAGAUAGUCAGCAUCAAUUUGGUAUCUGAGGUACUAGCAUGUUCAGUUACUGAACACUCUUCCCGUUUCUCCCAACCCAAUCCUGUCUCCCUUAAUAUAGCAGCAAGUAUUUCUAGAGGGCUUACAACGUACUAACCACUGUUCUAAGCGGUUUUCAUGUACUAAGUCACUUAAUUAUCACAACUCUCUACGUAGGCACUAUUUUUUGCAUACUCAUUUAUAGAUGAAAUGGCCUUGACACAAACAGGUUAGGUAAUUUACCCAGCUGGCACAUAGCUGGUGAGUGUGAGAGGAGAAAUUCAAGACCAAGCAGUUUAGAAUCAGAGCUCUCAUGCUCAGUUACUCGGCUCUACUGUCAUUUUUAUUUCAGAUCAUAAUCUUCCCUUUUCUGGACUAUUAAACAGCUUCCCAGCUGGUCUUCAUUCAAGUUGCCUCUUUUUACAUUACUAUUUUUAUUUUUAUUUAUUUUUAUUUUUAUUUUUUUGUCUUUUUAGGACCACACCUGCAGCAUAUGGAGGGUUCCAGGCUAUGAGGUCUAAUCGGAGCUAUAGCUGCCGGCCUACUUCACAGUCAAAGCAAUGCCAGAUCCAAGCUGCAGCUGCGACCUACACCACAGCUCAUGGUAAUGCCAGAUCCUUAACCCGAGAGAGGCCAGGGAUUGAACCUGCAACCUCAUGGAGUUAGAUUCGUUUCUUCUGCGCCACAGCGGGAACUCCCUACAUUACUAUUUCUUAUUAUAACAAUAACAUGUGAAUACAUUCUUCAGGUAAAAUAUGAUAAUAGCAUGAAUUAGACAAAAACACAGUUGGCCACCAGCCGCAAUCCCAAGUUUCUCCCCAGGGACUACUAUGCCUCCUUCUAGAUAUUUUUAUGCGUAUAUACAUACCUGUAAAAGUAUGCGGUAUUGUUUGAUAGAUUUUUUAACAAAUGUGGUUAAUAAUUUGCAAAAUUUUACGUUAUAGGAUUUCAAGAGCAUUCUAAAUCAAAAGUGUGACCAUUAAAAGAAGAAAUAUCGGGGAGUUCCCAUCAUGGCACAGAGAAAACGAAUCCUACUACNUACGUUAUAGGAUUUCAAGAGCAUUCUAAAUCAAAAGUGUGACCAUUAAAAGAAGAAAUAUCGGGGAGUUCCCAUCAUGGCACAGAGAAAACGAAUCCGACUAGGAACUAUGAGAUUGCAGGUUCGAUCCCUGGCCUCGCUCAGUGGGUUAAGGAUCCAGCAUUGCCAUGAGCUGUGGUGUAGAUUGCAGACUCGGCUCGGAUCUGGCACUGCUGUGGCUGUGGCAUAGGCUGAUUAGACCCCUAGCCUGGGAACCUCCACAUGCUGCGGGUGCAGCCCUAAAAAGACAAAAAAAAAAAAAAAGAAAGAAAGAAAAGAAAAUAGGAUGACUUCAUCACCCAUUGCCACUGUACAUUGAUUCAAACAGUUAUAGAUCUACAGCAGACACUCCUAACAAUUCACCUAAAUUAUAUCUACCUUGGCAGAGUCAAGGUUAAUAAACAUCACCAUAUGCCUGCUGUGUGACCCUGG
ensembl:lncRNA